AGCGCAGGCGGGAGAACAAGUUGGAAGUGAAAUCCAUGGGCUCAACCCAUGAACUGCUUUCAAAACUGUUUUUCUUGAGUAGUGCAGAGGUAGGCGGAAUUCCCGGUGUAGCGGUGGAAUGCGUAGAUAUCGGGAGGAACACCAGUGGCGAAGGCGGCUUACUGGACGGUAACUGACGUUGAGGCUCGAAAGCGUGGGGAGCAAACA
rnacentral:rRNA from 1 species